rnacentral:misc_RNA from 1 species
GGAAGUAAAAGUCUAACAAGGGUUUCCGUAGGUGAACCUGUGGAAGGAUCAUUAACGAGUAUCGGGAUGUUGUGCUGGUUCUUACAAGUGCACGCUCCCUUCAUUCAAUUCACACCCUGUGCACCUUUGAUGAGAUGGAGGCCUCACCCCCGUUUACGUGUCCUUCGGGACUCCGGGUCUGGACGACGUCUUAUUUUUACAUCAACACAAGUAUUCAGAAUGUCAACUUGCAGUAAUGCAGAAAAAAAUAUAACUUUCAACAACGGAUCUCUUGGUUCUC